UACGAAGGGUGCAAGCGUUACUCGGAAUUACUGGGCGUAAAGCGUGCGUAGGUGGUGAGUUAAGUCUGUCGUGAAAGCCCCGGGCUCAACCUGGGAAUGGCGAUGGAUACUGGCUCGCUAGAGUGCGGUAGAGGAGAGUGGAAUUCCCGGUGUAGCAGUGAAAUGCGUAGAGAGUCGGGAGGAACACCGGUGGCGAAGGCGGGUCUCUGGGCAGUAACUGACGCUGAGGAGCGAAAGCGUGGGGAGCGAACAGG
rnacentral:rRNA from 1 species